GGGCAGGUGGUGAAAUAGAAUACACGCUAGGUUUAGGACCUAGUGCCGCAAGGCGUGAGGGUGCAAGUCCCUCCCUGCCCACAA
rnacentral:tRNA from 1 species